UACGAAGGGGGCUAGCGUUGCUCGGAAUUACUGGGCGUAAAGGGCGCGUAGGCGGCACUGUUAGUCAGGCGUGAAAGUCCUGGGCUCAACCUGGGAACUGCGCUUGAUACGGCAGAGCUAGAGGAUGGAAGAGGGUCGCGGAAUUCCCAGUGUAGAGGUGAAAUUCGUAGAUAUGGGGAGGAACACCGGUGGCGAAGGCGGCCACCUGGACGGUAACUGACGCUGAGACGCGAAAGCGUGGGGAGCAAACAGG
rnacentral:rRNA from 1 species